rnacentral:rRNA from 1 species
GAGUGGCGAACUGGUGAGUAACACGUGGGAAACCUGCCCAGAAGCGGGGGAUAACACCUGGAAACAGAUGCUAAUACCGCAUAACAACUUGGACCGCAUGGUCCGAGCUUGAAAGAUGGCUUCGGCUAUCACUUUUGGAUGGUCCCGCGGCGUAUUAGCUAGAUGGUGGGGUAACGGCUCACCAUGGCAAUGAUACGUAGCCGACCUGAGAGGGUAAUCGGCCACAUUGGGACUGAGACACGGCCCAAACUCCUACGGGAGGCAGCAGUAGGGAAUCUUCCACAAUGGACGAAAGUCUGAUGGAGCAACGCCGCGUGAGUGAAGAAGGGUUUCGGCUCGUAAAACUCUGUUGUUAAAGAAGAACAUAUCUGAGAGUAACUGUUCAGGUAUUGACGGUAUUUAACCAGAAAGCCACGGCUAACUACGUGCCAGCAGCCGCGGUAAUACGUAGGUGGCAAGCGUUGUCCGGAUUUAUUGGGCGUAAAGCGAGCGCAGGCGGUUUUUUAAGUCUGAUGUGAAAGCCUUCGGCUCAACCGAAGAAGUGCAUCGGAAACUGGGAAACUUGAGUGCAGAAGAGGACAGUGGAACUCCAUGUGUAGCGGUGAAAUGCGUAGAUAUAUGGAAGAACACCAGUGGCGAAAGCGGCUGUCUGGUCUGUAACUGACGCUGAGGCUCGAAAGUAUGGGUAGCAAACAGGAUUAGAUACCCUGGUAGUCCAUACCGUAAACGAUGAAUGCUAAGUGUUGGAGGGUUUCCGCCCUUCAGUGCUGCAGCUAACGCAUUAAGCAUUCCGCCUGGGGAGUACGGCCGCAAGGCUGAAACUCAAAGGAAUUGACGGGGGCCCGCACAAGCGGUGGAGCAUGUGGUUUAAUUCGAAGCUACGCGAAGAACCUUACCAGGUCUUGACAUACUAUGCAAAUCUAAGAGAUUAGACGUUCCCUUCGGGGACAUGGAUACAGGUGGUGCAUGGUUGUCGUCAGCUCGUGUCGUGAGAUGUUGGGUUAAGUCCCGCAACGAGCGCAACCCUUAUUAUCAGUUGCCAGCAUUAAGUUGGGCACUCUGGUGAGACUGCCGGUGACAAACCGGAGGAAGGUGGGGAUGACGUCAAAUCAUCAUGCCCCUUAUGACCUGGGCUACACACGUGCUACAAUGGAUGGUACAACGAGUUGCGAACUCGCGAGAGUAAGCUAAUCUCUUAAAGCCAUUCUCAGUUCGGAUUGUAGGCUGCAACUCGCCUACAUGAAGUCGGAAUCGCUAGUAAUCGCGGAUCAGCAUGCCGCGGUGAAUACGUUCCCGGGCCUUGUACACACCGCCCGUCACACCAUGAGAGUUUGUAACACCCAAAGUCGGUGGGGUAACCUUUUAGGA